ensembl:lncRNA
GUAUGUGUCUGUGUGUGUCUGUAUGUGUGUCCUGUAUGUGUCUGUGAGUGUCUGUGAGUGUCUGUGUGUGUCUGUAUGUGUCUGUGAGUGUCUGUGAGUGUCUGUGUGUGUGUCUGUGUGUGUCUGUGUGUGUGUCUGUAUGUGUCUGUGAGUGUCUUUGUGUGUUGUCUGUGUGUGUCUGUGAGUGUCUGUGUGUGUGUCCUGUCUGUGUGUGUGUCCUGUAUGUGUCUGUGAGUGUCUGUGUGUGUGUCUGUAUGUGUCUGUGUGUGUCUGUGUGUGUGUCUGUAUGUGUCUGUAUGUGUCUGUGUGUGUCUGAGUGUCUGUGUAUGUGUCUGUAUGUGUCUGUGUGUGUCUGUGUGUGUGUCUGUGUGUGUCUGUAUGUGUCUGUGAGUGUCUGUGUGUGUGUCUGUAUGUGUCUGUGUGUGUGUCUGUAUGUGUCUGUGUAUGUCUGUGUGUGUCUGUGUGUGUGUCUGUAUGUGUCUGUGAGUGUCUGUGUGUUUCUGUAUGUGUCUGUAUGUGUCUGUAUG